rnacentral:rRNA from 1 species
UACGGGGGGGGCAAGCGUUGUUCGGAAUUACUGGGCGUAAAGGGCUCGUAGGCGGCCAACUAAGUCAGACGUGAAAUCCCUCGGCUUAACCGGGGAACUGCGUCUGAUACUGGAUGGCUAGAGGUUGGGAGAGGGAUGCGGAAUUCCAGGUGUAGCGGUGAAAUGCGUAGAUAUCGGGAGGAACACCGGUGGCGAAGGCGGGUCUCUGGGCCGAUACUGACGCUGAGGAGCGAAAGCGUGGGGAGCGAACAGG